rnacentral:rRNA from 1 species
GCUCGGAUGAACGCUGGCGGCAUGCCUAACACAUGCAAGUCGAACGGCAGCGCGGGCUUCGGCCUGGCGGCGAGUGGCGGACGGGUGAGUAAUACUUGGGAAUCUGCCCAGUAGUGGGGGACAACACGGGGAAACUCGUGCUAAUACCGCAUACGUCCUACGGGAGAAAGCGGGGGAUCUUCGGACCUCGCGCUAUUGGAUGAGCCCAAGUCGGAUUAGCUAGUUGGUAGGGUAACGGCCUACCAAGGCAACGAUCCGUAGCUGGUCUGAGAGGACGAUCAGCCACACCGGAACUGAGACACGGUCCGGACUCCUACGGGAGGCAGCAGUGGGGAAUAUUGGACAAUGGGGGAAACCCUGAUCCAGCAAUGCCGCGUGUGUGAAGAAGGCCUGCGGGUUGUAAAGCACUUUCAGCAGGGAAGAACAGCACGGAGCUAAUAUCUCCGUGUCUUGACGUCACCUGAAGAAGAAGCACCGGCUAACUCCGUGCCAGCAGCCGCGGUAAUACGGAGGGUGCAAGCGUUAAUCGGAAUUACUGGGCGUAAAGCGCACGUAGGCGGCUUUGUAAGUCGGAUGUGAAAGCCCCGGGCUUAACCUGGGAACUGCAUCCGAAACUGCAUGGCUAGAGUAAGGCAGAGGAAGUGGAAUUUCCGGUGUAGCGGUGAAAUGCGUAGAUAUCGGAAGGAACACCAGUGGCGAAGGCGACUUCUGGGCCAUUACUGACGCU